GUUAGGAUGGCCGAGUGGUCUAAGGCGCCAGACUCAGGUUCUGGUCCCUUUCUAGGGGUGUGGGUUCGAAUCCCAUUUCUGACA